CACGAUAUUUUACAAAAACUAACCACCUUCUCUACAGUUAUUAAACAAUUAUAUAAAGUAUUCAUUUCAAAUAACAAGAUGUUUGCUCGGAUUUAAAAUAAAUGUUUUCAUCAUCUACAUUGUCUCUGGAUUUAAAAUUUUUUUGACCUUAAGCUAAGUACUCAUCACCGCUUCCUCAGUACUUAAAGAAGGCAUACGAACACC
rnacentral:lncRNA from 1 species